rnacentral:rRNA from 1 species
GAUGAACGCUGGCGGCGUGCCUAAUACAUGCAAGUCGAGCGAACAGACGAGGAGCUUGCUCCUCUGACGUUAGCGGCGGACGGGUGAGUAACACGUGGAUAACCUACCUAUAAGACUGGGAUAACUUCGGGAAACCGGAGCUAAUACCGGAUAAUAUAUUGAACCGCAUGGUUCAAUAGUGAAAGACGGUUUUGCGGUCACUUAUAGAUGGAUCCGCGCCGCAUUAGCUAGUUGGUAAGGUAACGGCUUACCAAGGCAACGAUGCGUAGCCGACCUGAGAGGGUGAUCGGCCACACUGGAACUGAGACACGGUCCAUACUCCUACGGGAGGCAGCAGUAGGGAAUCUUCCGCAAUGGGCGAAAGCUUGACGGAGCAACGCCGCGUGAGUGAUGAAGGUCUUCGGAUCGUAAAACUCUGUUAUUAGGGAAGAACAAAUGUGGAAGUAACUAUGCACGUCUUGACGGUACCUAAUCAGAAAGCCACGGCUAACUACGUG